GUAAAAGUGGAAGGAGACAAACAAGAGCUUUAAUCCGUUUAUUACAGAGGGAGGGAAACAUUUGAGUAAAGACACAACGUCCACCAACAGACACACAACAGAGACUCAACCCUCUGUUCAGAGCAGCACACAGGCACGGACGGGCCCAUGGUUCUUUUCUAGAACCUUCUAGAUGGAACAGAACAACAGCGAGCAGCGGACACGAGUUCAGACAGGAAGGAAGAGCAGAGCGGAAGAGACACAGAGCGUCUAGAGUGUGGUCAUGUCGUUCAGGGCCAAGUCCAGCUCCUCGCUGAGAGCUUUACCCUUCAGCUUCUGAGCGUACACUUCAUCUGCAGGAGGACACACACAGGUAGAGACACACACAGGUAGAGACACACACAGGUAGAGACACACACAGGUAGAGACACACACAGGUAGACACACACAGGUAGAGACACACACAGGUAGACACACACAGGUAGAGACACACAGGUAGACACACACACAGGUAGAGACACACACAGGUAGAGACACACAGGUAGAGACACACACAGGUAGAGACACAUGGGGCAGAGCAGCAAAGAGACAGGAUUCAGAAAAGCAGAAGGAAAAUGUUCACGUGGUAUCAAACGGUGGCUUCAUGCAGCUCGUCACUUCAGACCAAGCAGGAGAAACAUCUGGAGACUCAGACCCUGUUCACAUCUGCAUUUACAUCUUUCCAUCGUUAACAUUAAUGAAGGAAAGAUUUUGCAUAAACAAACAAAGGUUUGUUGAGCUGGAGCCUCCCGACCUGAGGGAUCUGACCCCGACACACUGAAGCUACACUCUCUCUGACCUCGGGGUUCGAACCCACGGAACCCGUUCAGCUCAGCCAACCAAACAGCUUCAACUGUUAGUGAUGUCAUCAUGAACUCAGGCAAACACAACACGGCAGCCAUGUUGGAAGUCGACUGUGAACGGCUCGGAUCCGACGGAUGGUUCAUCUACAUCUGAGGAGUUCUACACAAUCACUUCAAACACACUCUGAAGAAACCGAUCUGUACUAAGACCAACACGUGGCUGAAGUGCCAGGAGGCGUGUGUCCUUCAGAGAGGGACCUGAUGUUCAUCUUCUCAACGUGAGGAGGAACACAGCUUCUAUUUAUCUGUAACUCUAUGACAUGUGGACAAGUUGACUUCCAGGUGAGAGUCUGAUGCUCUUUAAGACUUGUAGGACUUCACUGGACGUUCAGGUCAGCUCCUAACAUCUAGUUCUCUCCCAUCCCACCCGGACCCUGAGCCGUCUCACUGUGCAGCCACACAUCACCAGAAGAGAUUAGUGAAGCAGUUACUUCUACUUGAUUCACAGCAGGAGGGCGAGCAGACGUGUUAGUGGCGUCAGGAGGAGCAGAGGAACCAGCGUUUAAAUACCUUCCAGAUCGUCGAUGGUCUUCUCCAGCUUGGCCACAGAUCUCUCUGCAAAUUCUGCACGAGUCUCAGCCUGGAACACAAACCGCCACAGACACAUCAGAGGGACACGGGUCAGGCGCUUCAUGAGUAAGAGGAGGAAAUAUCAACCUCACCUCUUUCAGUUUGUCAGUAAGAACUUUGAUUUCCUCUUCGUAUUUAUCCUCCUUUUGCGAGUACUGAAAACCAAACCAAAGAUUUGAACUUGAAGCCGAAAUAAUAACAAGAGACUUUACAUGCACAUUGAAUCCACUGCUGGAGAAGAUUGGAAUCUUUUUAAGAAAGACAAGAAGGAUAAAGAUGUGAAAGUUCUGACUUUUCCUCAUGUUUCUUUAAGUCACUUUAAAUAAACAACUGUGUAUAUUUCCAUCAUAUUGAAACAUCUUUACAGUCUGACUGUCCGGACCUGAGGCCGGACGCCCCCAGCUCCUACCGUACCUUCUCAGCCUGAGCUUCCAGCGACUUCAAGUUGUUGGUGACAUUUUUCAACUCUUCCUCAAGGUCGCCUGAUUUACUGAGCAGCGUCAGAGAGAGAGAAAGAAGCGAGAGGAGAAAGAGCAGCGGUUUGAAAGAGCAGCAGGAGAGAACGAGGCCUGACACCGAACCCACGCUUUGAGAAUCAAGUCUCUGCUUCUCAGAGUCGAGCACAUCGGACUCUGAGAAGCAGAGAACAAGAGUCGUACCAGGUCUUUCAAAAGGAACUGUAAAUACACGUAGUCCCAUCAAAGCACAAGUCUGAUGUGAUUCUAUGAUUUUCUUCUUGUCAACAAAUCUCCUUUCACUUCGUGACGCAGACUGACGACAUGAAGCUCAGAGUGUUUUUAAACUGAGACAGAGGAGGUUCAUCUGAUCCAUGAGGCUGAUGAGGUCAGAGAGAGGCUGUGGACUGGACGGUUCAAAGGGACCAAUCACAGGAGCAUCAGCCACUGUCCCCGCCCCCAAGGUGUCAUAGCUCCACCCCUCGAGGGAGCGACUGUCGGUCGAUGUUGAUCGAGCACGAAGGGAAAGUUCGCCUCAGGUUUGUGGAACCACAGAACCUCACUGGUCUGAUCUUUUAUCCAGUUAAUGUAUCUUUCAUAAUAAUACAAAUUUACAAUUUUGAGUUGUCAAAAUAUGAAAAUCUUCUGUCCUAGAUUUCCAUCUGAUUUGUUGAAAAGAAAACCAAGACAGAAUAUCACCUGACUCGUCCUUCAACGAGUCACAGGCCAGUGCAGGUUAGACAGGAAGCAGUGGGAGGAGUUUAGA